rnacentral:lncRNA from 1 species
AAACCUAGGAUGAAGAUAGGAGAGGAGCAGGAGACAGCAGGAAACAUCUGCUUCGGGCACAUUUCCCUUCCGAUCCCUGGUGGACAGCGUGACAAAGGAAUCAUUUCAGUUUCCAGCAGUAUCUACAUCAUUUGUCACCAAACCACCUUCGCUGCCCCUCACGGCUCCUUCUGCCUCACCCUCCCUGACCUGAAGGUCUUCAUAUAUUUGUAAAUAACUGUUUUUGUCUUCACAGCUCUUGCAAUCCUCUUUAUUUUAAAAUAAAGUUUAUUUUGAGACUGGGCCA